AAUCAACGCUGGCGGCGUGCCUAACACAUGCAAGUCGAACGAGAAAGUGGAGCAAUCCAUGAGUAAAGUGGCGCACGGGUGAGUAACACGUGACUAACCUACCCUUGAGUGGGGGAUAACCUAGGGAAACCUGGGCUAAUACCGCAUAAUACCUUCGGGUCAAAGGAGCAAUUCGCUUUAGGAGGGGGUCGCGGCCGAUUAGUUAGUUGGCGGGGUAAUGGCCCACCAAGACUGUGAUCGGUAUCCGGCCUGAGAGGGCGCACGGACACACUGGAACUGAAACACGGUCCAGACUCCUACGGGAGGCAGCAGUGGGGAAUUUUGCGCAAUGGGGGAAACCCUGACGCAGCAACGCCGCGUGGAGGAUGAAGCCCCUUGGGGCGUAAACUCCUUUCGAUCGGGAAGAUAAUGACGGUACCGAGAGAAGAAGCCCCGGCUAACUUCGUGCCAGCAGCCGCGGUAAUACGAGGGGGGCGAGCGUUGUUCGGAAUUAUUGGGCGUAAAGGGUGCGUAGGCGGUUCAGUAAGUCUUGUGUGAAAUCUUCGGGCUCAACUCGAAGUCUGCAUGAGAAACUGCUG
rnacentral:rRNA from 1 species